AGACAAGACCGAGGGAAGGGGGAAAUUUUCAAUGCAGCAGUGAUAUUUUGGUUCACUGAAAGAGAGUCUAAAAGCAGAGGCAUGUUAUAGAGAAGACUGAAGUGCAGCUGGGCUGCAGGGAAAUGCUCCAAUGCCAGGUGCCUGCAUUACCCCCAAUGCAGGGGGUAUCCUGCAUUAAAAGUUGUCAGAGUGAUGUGACCUCCUGAGUUGCUGGGUAAUGGCCACGUGACAUGGCUAUAACAAAGUAUUUCCAAGUUGCAGAGCUAGGCAGGAUAACAAACUGCUGUGCUGUACAUCUAGAAGAGAAACAGGCUCUUCUCCUUUCCAUGAGAAGGUAGCUGGUGUCUCAGUGAAACUGCAGGCUGAAAAAUGUGGGACAUCCACCAGGAUAUAUUACUGAAGAAAGAGUAGACGGGAAACUGAGGCUGGGAAUCUCUUCUGCCUAGCAGCAGAGCCCCAGAUUUGUGCCCACCAGGGGUUUGAGCUGUAUCACCAAGUUUUCUGGCAGCCAGAGAGCAAAUGGGAUGCUCAACCAUUGAGACAUGAGGCUCUGAGUCAAAUGUUGCCAUGCUCCUCUGACAGUGCUCAGCUAUCACCUCAGGGAUGACGUAAAUGGUGAUCAUAUUUAGCUUUUACACAGUUCAGCUUUAAAAUGGUGUUAGAGCCAGUUUACAGAGAGAGACACCAACAUCAAAACUCCUCUUCAAAAGAUUGAGAAAUUGGGCAUGAAUGAGAAAACAAUUUGCCUAUCAUCCCUUAUCAGCCUAAUAAUAAAAGCAGGGUUUGGAGCCUUUAACAUUUCUGAGGUGAGCCCUCUUCCACCAACCUUUUAAAAAUAGGAGGUGACUUAGUCUGUAACAAAUUCCUCCACACUGGCAGCUUCACAUUAACCUCUUGAGGAGAGGAGGGAGCACAUGUGUUUCCUGGUAAACCAUUAGUGGCAUUGCUGCUGCACUGCUUGGUGAGCUGUGCGAGAGCAAAACUGAGUGCUUCUGGGGCUUUCUCAAAAUAGUAAACAGGCUGGUACAACAAAUGGAAUUGUCACUGAUACGGGAGUAACAGCUCUGAACGGGGUGGGUUUGUGCAGGUGUGACCUGUGCUCUUUAAUCACCUUAGGUCUUACAAUAAAGAUCAUAAAAUAGACCUUUAGUGAUUUAGCUGUAUCCUGACAGAAGCGGAGUUGUAGCAGGAUCGGCAUCUUCCAGUCAGUCCCUCAGUUGCCAUGGUAACUCCCUAGGAUGGGGUGCACUUCAGAAAAAUGCAACUUCUGGGCUAAACUGUGGGCUGGAGGGUGGCAGAUGGAUGGGAUUCAGCUGCCUCAGAGGGUGGUACUCCACAGCCAGACAUUCAGAUUUAGGAAUCUACCCAAGUGGUCCAUUUGGCACAUCAGAAGCAAAAUUUAUUUUAAACCAUCAAUUUGUUCCCAGAUUUGCUUACUGAGCCACGAAACAUGCAGAGCUAGAUGAAUUCCCGUGUAAUCCAAGCCUGCCUGAAAGCCUCGUGGAUUGCCCUGAGCAAGGGACUUGAUGAAGCCAUGGCCCCUUCUCAUGAGCAGCCAGCAGAGCCAAGGAGGGCUUCCCAUUUUGCUGGGGGAAGUUAAGCUGUCUGGCAGCCUGACACACACCCAGAGCCAAGGACUUGGGAUCCAAACGCAGCUGCGAGCUGGAAUUGAUGUUGUUGGAGUCACUGCACCCCUCUCAAAACACAGGCAGCAUAUUUCCUUACAGAAAUGUUUUGAAAACUAAAUGUCCUUAUAAUUUUCUGUUCACAAAACAAUUUGAAAUGAAAAAAGGAGAGAAGAAACAUCCUGUUCCAACAUGGCACAGGACCACGUUUGAACAAGAACAUUUCUUGUAAGGGUUUGUCAGCCAGCUGGAGUGCACAUGGCCUGAGGAUCUGGGAACCUCCUGGAUCUAAGAGCAGAAAUCAGGAGAAAAACAAACAAAUCAGCCAACCAACAAAAAUAACCAGCACCACAGGUGUAGGAGAAGUCAACUCGGUUUUAAACAACUACUGCUGUGGGUUGGGGGGUUUUGUGAAACACAUUUAUUGUGGCUCCUUUAUACCAUGUGCAGUGGUAAGUCCGCCAUAAUAGUUGUGUUGUUAUAUUAAAUUAAUUUUCCACUAUUGUUUUCAGAAACAUGAUAUGCCUUGGUAUCCAUGAACAACUUGUGUAUGCCACUUUUCCUGCACUGCUCAGCUAUCCUGUUGCUUUCUACACGCAGCGUUGUGUAAAGUCUCCCUGGUUUGCUGGUGUCUCAGGUGAAGUUCAUUGGAUAACAGAUUCGUCAUCAUUCCAAGUAGAUGGAUGAACACUGGAAUCCUAUCAGCAGCUUCCACCAGCGUCCUCUGGAUUUACCAAGUUGUACCUGAAAUUUCUCAUCUCUGAACUGGCUUUUCAAGAGUGCUAGCUCCAAAAUGGCACAACCAGGGAGGUCCCUUUGCUAAUGGACAAAGCAGAGAGAACACAGGAAAGGGCAGGGAAGGGAAGAAUUAAAAGCAGCCCUUCCUCCAGGUGAGUGAACAAAAAUGACCCCAUAAUGGCAGCAGCAUAGAGAGGCUUCUCAUUUGUCUACAUAAUUCACUGUGCAUCACUUUGAGCUCUGCCAUUGUGAACAACACCUGGUCUUGUUAUGGCAAAAAAAAAAAUGCAGUUACCAGCUGAGAGAUGCACUGACUUUAAAGGUUGUGGGUUUUGAGCUGGAAGGGACGGUGGGUUUGGGAUGGUCCAUUUGUUCUGGGCUCCAUUUCAUCUGUUUGUGCAGUACAACCUGAAACAUCCAGGAUAAAUGUGCCAGGCUUUUUUCAUUUAUCAACAUCCUUGCUUGAGGGAUGAGCACAGGGAUCUUGUGCAGCUGAAUCUGCAGAUUCAUUAAUCUGCAUUGAGUGUGUAGUAAUCAAAUUCUAGGCCUUUUUUACAGAUUAAUGUUCACUCCUAUAACCAAUAUAUGCAUUAAAGGGAGUUCUUAAAAACCAGCAGUUGAAAUGAGGAAUCAGUAUUUCCAAGAAAAGUGAAGAACACACCUGAUUUCUUAUUAUGUAACACAGAGGGGAAAAACCCCCCAAAAUACACCACUCACUGUUUGCAUGAGAUAAGCUUUUUUGCUCAGUUCCACUUGAGAGAUCAUCAGCAGUAUUUUUCUAGCCAGUGGGAAAUUAUGCAGCUUGAUGUUUUUGCUAAACUGCCAGCUUUUAAAGGCACAGGAUUGAAAUCCCACACCAAAUCAAAACAAGUUUGGAUGACCAAUAAUAAUUUUGGUUAUUUUUGUGAGUAUGACUUGUUCAUAUCUUGGGGCUAGUAGGAGAUGUGCUACUCUCUCGCAUAAAAGCAUCACUUGCCCUUAUGCUCAGGGUACAGCAUUUCACUAAAUCACUGAGAAACUGCAUGUUUCUUUUUUAUUUUUAAUAAUCUGUAACUUCUAUUUGCUACACAAUGAUUUGCAUAUAUAUAAUGAUCUACCUUCAACUAAGAUAAACUCCUAGAUACCAUUUUCUCACAUACUUCUACAUUGAUUGAAACUUCUCCCUCAGCACCAAACAGACUUGAAUUGUAAUCUAAAAGGGGGAUUAUACUUAUCAGUCCAUAUUUUUAUCUGUAAAGAUGAAUAAUGGUGGCAUUUUUCUACUAGGAUGUUUGUAAUAGCUGAAUUCAGGGUUGUUUUUCCUCUUAUUCAUGGGAUGAACCUGGUUGGUUCUUUCUGCUGUAAAAUGUUUACGGUACAGCAUGCCUGUGCAUUGUUUCUGGCCUAUUAAACACUGUCUACACAGAAAAGUCACUAUUAAAUAUCUGUACUGAUCUUCACCAAGACAUUCAUGUGAUGCAAGAAAUUCAGCAGAGAUACGUUGAUGUCAGCUGAACUCCUAAUCCAUUUUGGCUGUUGGCCUCUUGCUGUUGUACCAUCAGCUUGGGGCCAUGGUAGUAGCAGAGGAAGCAGUAAGUGGCAGACUGGUGUCCAAAUUUAGUCUCCUAAUGAUUGCUUCUUGAAGAAAAAAACCAACAAGACCCCCAACAAAACCUGUGGAAACAACAAUGGCUAAUUUGAGUUAUUGUUUCAUGUUCCUUUCUUAGGACUUUCUUUAUCCACUUCCAAGCAGAGUUGAUGCAUUUUCUUUCACAGGGUUAAACUUCAGUCAGAAGGCAUUUCAGCCCUUAUCUUUGGUGUCCUCAUUCCCCUUGGUGAACAGAAAUGUUUCUUCUCACUUUCUUUUGCUGUUUUUGCAGUAGCUGCAAAGCCAAGACUUGCUGAGUGAAGACAAUUUCCAGGUCUGGUCUUUGAUCAGACCCACUGGAGCAACCCCGCUACUGCCAUCUGAGGUAACUCCUGUGGCAUGAAACAUGGUCAGUGGAGCACCAAAAAAUUACUUGGGUGGAACCACUUGUGAUUUGUUUCCUUUUCUCCUUCUAGUUUCCUGUGUCUUGAAAGGAAUGCUUGAAGAGAUGUUAGUGUUUUCCUAGCUAGGGUAUCAGUUUAAAGGAUUUUAAAGCUUGAAGGUGCCAGGAUAAUCCUCCUGCUCCAGGCCACAGAAUUUCUCUUCAGUUUUUAGCCACUGGAUCUUGCAUUCAUUUUUCUCUCAGAUAUAGACCCAUGAUGAAUGAGAAGUCAUCUCUGUGCUGGAAUGGUCUCUCUGCAAUAUUUGAAUGGGUUUUUGUUCUUCCAACACCUUAUGAAGGGGAGAAGUUGGUACUCUGAAGUUGGAUGUGAGACCCAGUGACGAUGGCCAUGAAUUGGCACACCAAUGCAAUCACCUUCCUAUUUCCAAGGAGUAAAGGAUCAACGCUAGAUUUUUAUAGACAAUUAGCUUUUAGAAUUGCUCUGUCAUUACUUGGAUUGGAUAAUGCAUGUUUUCUUGGGACAGCUGUAAUAAGGUUUCAGAAGAAAAUGGAAUGAGACAAUGCAAUUAUCACCCAUGAUUACUCCUUUUGUUCCUGUCUUAGUCAGCUCUUGGUGGGGGAGGGUUUCUUGUUUAGUGUUUCAUAAAUUAUUUCCUGUUGUAAUGGUUUUGAUUCAUUAUAUGAAUCAAAGUGGUGGAGAUGUCAGCAAAAAAUAAUUGUAUUCCUAAAAUGAUAUAUCAAACACAGAGGACAGCUAAUAUGAAAUGUAUUGUGAGAGCCAAAGCUGGUACACCCUGAUAGGUAAGGAAAUGCACACUCAAAAAUAAUAAUUAUGUACUGAAGGAUAAAGAGGAAGACCACGUUCACAGCAGGAGAAAAGCAAGAUGAAGCACACGUUGGGUUUACAGAUAUGUACACAUAAUUCCUUUGCAUUUUAUGCAUGGUGCUCUUGGGAGACUCUUCAGUGCCUGCAGCAUUUGAUUCCAGCUUUCAGCAACUGUACUCUCAGAUAUCAAGAGUUUUACAAAUUCUGCCAAAAAGUUGGAAAAUGGAAAAUCUGUGGUCAUGGCUGGCCAGUGAGAAAAGGUACCAGAUCACACCAUGACUUCUCAAGCUACUGCCAAAAUCAGCUACAUCAAGAACAGGAUUUUCUAAGCCUGUUCAAUGUCUCUGAGCCAGCUGGUCACCUCCCCAUCUUUGCUUUCAGUAAAAUGGGUCCCCAGAGGCAACACACAGCUCUUUCAGUAUCACUAAUGUUUUCUCCAGGAAAAAUAUUUUCAUUCUCAAAAAAUCCCAAUGGACUUUAUUUAUAAUUUACAGAAAUAUUUUAACCUAAAAUUUUUAUAAUUAUUGGUUUCAAAAUGAUAUCCCUACUGUGGCUUGUUGUAGCUCCUAAUAAAUACUGUUUUCUGGAGACUUAUAAGCCUCAUUUCUCUCCAGAUGACUGAAGCUAGCAAGAGCUCAUAAACCAUAGGAAAGUAGACCUGAAGAACAUUUAAUAAUUCAAAUCACCUUCUUCAAGAACAGUUAGUGAAGAAAAUAUAUUUUCUUGUUAGAAGCUUGCAAAGAUACUGAACAGCUUUGAAUGAACUGGCAGCCAACUAUGAGUUGGCUGUGCAAUAGGAAAAAGUAAACAGAGGAGAAAGAAAAACAUAUCCAGUUAAAACUACUUGGAUCUGCUAACUACUGACAGGGCAAGAGCACUUAAAAAAACCCCCCAAAACCAACAAAACAAUACAUUAAAGCAGCUUUUUCAAAUUAUGUUAGUCCUUCCAAACCAAACACUGGGAAAAGUCAGGUGGUUGUUUAGCUUAUUCUGAUUUUUAAUUUAAAGGGAAAAACUGAUCCCCAGCAUCUCUGUCUAGAAGAUGUGAAACAUGAAGGAAUGUCAAGAUCAUGAUUAUCUAGCCUUUUACUCCUGUUUGUUUGUUAAGUAGACAGCAAAUUCUGUGUUAUACUGAGCUUCUGAGACAGUGAAACUGAAAAUAUGCUGUCCAGAUUAAAUCUGGGUAAAAGUAACACUUUGUGAUUAACUUGGUAAUAAACAAGGUUUAUUCCAUUGCAUUUAGUGUGAUUCAAUAUAAUGUACUUUAGUAUUUAAUGUAAUUAACGACUUUUAAAAAAGAAACCUGUCUUGGUUAAAAAAGAACUGCAAAAAAAUUGAAAACUUUAGUGCAAAUGGAAUAAAACUGUCUUUCUGUGACCUUA